GGUUUGAGCUGCUAGGUGAUGUUCACACCAAAUAGAGAUUUAUGAUGUCACAUGGGCUUUCUUAUCGCAAUGAAAAAGAAAAUGGCUGAACCAGUUGAACUUUGUGCACAAGUAAACCUUUCUGGUGUAGAAAACAACACAGCCAUGUCUCAUGCUCCCUGCCCAAGACUCGGUCUGUCCCUGAACAGCAGCAGCAGGAAGGCCUUCGGUGGAGCCCGCUUGAUCGUGAAAACCCAAGAUAUGCCAGUUAAGGGCAUUUGAUCUGUAACAGUAGGGGAAUGAGCAGCUAUCUCUAUCUCUGCUACAAGUACGGUGUUUGCACUGCAACAGAGUAAUUGGAAACAGAUAUUAAAGACUUACUAAUUACGCAUGGAAAUUUACAUGGCUGUGUUUAGCAAUAUUUAUGUUAUUGUGUUGAGAUGUAUUUCAAUGAACGUAGCACUCUAUCUAAUUCCUUGCAUUCCCCACUUUCACUAGACAGUAACUUUCAGAAGAAUGGUAUAAGCUGCCUUCACAACGAAAUAUAAACAAAUAAUGCAAUUGAGAAACAAAAAAGAAACAAAAACUGUGGAUGCUGGAAAUCGGAAACAAAGACAGAAAUUGCUGGGAAAAAGUCUGUGGAAAGAAAGCGGAGUUAAUGUUUUGUUUCCAGUGACCCUUCUUCAGAGCGUGAAUGCAUUGGAAAAAGAACCCUUUCAAAUUAACUACGUAAGAUGUGAAAAACUAUUGAAUUUUCAACUUGAACCUUGAUGUGCUAAUUACUGUGUUUUAUUCACUGAUCUAGUUUGUCACCAGGAAACAUCGUGUAUAUUCAAUAACAUAGCAUCUAAGAUGAUUUUAAAUCAAAAGAAGAUGGUUUUGGAAUAGUAGCUUGCACACUGCUUGAGCCAGUUUUGCUGCAAUGAAAUAUAAAUAGACCAAUGGGUUCAUGGGCUCUGUUUCAACAUCACUAAUUGUCAUUGACCAGCAGAGACCGAUGAUAAUCACUUUGAAGGAUUUAAAAAGAAAGUCUCAAAAUAAGGCUUUGGAGCCCAGCCUGAGUAGCUAAGUUAUAAUGCAGACAACACAGUUGAUAGCCAAAUUUCAGCCCUGUUUUUUCCACCAGCUGCACUUGCUCUGCCUUCACAAUUUCGAUGAAAAUAUAGCACAACAAUUCCAGGCAAAGGCAUUCAACACUUAGAGAUGAAGCUGAUUGUGUUAAAAAAAAUGUUAUGGCUAAAGCUAAUGUGCAUACUAGGAGAUUGUGAUGUUAAUCCAAAUUCAAGAAAUAUAUUUACGUAUAAAGAGGUGAAAAAAGUCAGCCCAAUAAGCAAUUCAAACAAUACAUACAAACCCCAAACCAGAAGAUUAACGAGGGAAGGAGCUCAUAACUUAAAGAGCUUAUCCCAGUUAACAUCAAGACAAUUGAAUUUUUCUGCUCCCAAAGCAUGGAGCAACUAUUAGCAACUAAAGGUAUUGGUGAACACUUUCUAAGUUAUGGAGAUAAAUAUUAAGCCCUCACAUCUGGUGGAAUUGGCAUGAUAGCUCAUCUGAAAUAGUAGGUAAUGACCUAUGGCCAAUAGCUGCCAUUGAUGUGACCAUAACAAUGUUCUUCAGACGUGCACUGCAUGUCCACACUGAAAGCCAUUCCCUCAACAAUAACAUUCAAAGCCUCCCAUGGACCCACAUUAUUCUGGUGUUGACUCACAGCUGGUGGCCUGCUUCAGGACGCUCCAGCUUUACCCAUCUGAAUAUUAAUCAGUCCAGCCCUCAGACAGACUAGGCCACCUCCAAAGACACCAGGCAUCCAAGUGUCACAUUCUUCUGGCUAGAAUAAAUUUGAUCCAGUGUCUUUUCUAUCUACAAAAUGAUACAAUUUAGGGAAUAUUAGCACAUUACAAAACAAUAUAUUGAGAGAAGUAGUAAUAUCCGUCUAUAAUUGCUUUUGUUUGAUCCAAUGUAAUGCAGAUCUUACCAAAUGUUUAUCAUUAGCUGUUCAUAGCUGAAUUAUUUGGUGUUCAAGCUAUAUCUUUAUACUGUUGCUGUGAGGGUGUGCACAAAAGUUGCAGAAUACUUAUUUUCCAUCACCUUCACUUUCCUGACAUAGAGAACAAAACAUUAGCUGUGAAUUAAAUCAUAUUACAGAA